UUAGGUUUCCUGCGUACUGCACAAUGCUUACUUAUGAUAGUACUCAGUGCACCAUCUCUGGAAAAAAAGGAAGCAAAGAGAAAAAAAAAACAGAUAUGGACUGGUAGGCAGCUGCAGUUUCAAAGUAGCCGUGACCAGCAAAGCGGGAGAUAAACAUAGGACCAAACUUUCUGUUUAUGCAAGAGGGGAAGAUGCUUCAAACAAAUGGAAGGAUUGGUUUUCAUAAGGAAUGUUCUUGGACUGUCAUAACAGGAGUAAAGUCAGAACACAUAGGCUGUAUUGUUCAUAUCUGUGGAGUCUUCUUGAAAGACAAGAAAACACCUAAAAAUAAGGCCUAGGAACUCUACUAAAUGGCCAUAAGAUUCUUCACAAAAUGGAAAAUAGUUAUACUGAUUAUUUCAGUGCCAGAAAUGUUCCAUGGUUACAGGUUUGGCACCUUUUGAAGUUGCACUUUCUCUUUGAGGCUGUUAAGGUGCUAUUUAAUGAAUCAAUUGAGUCAUUUAAUCAAUAAAAGUA